UGAGUUCAGUUCUCUGCUCCGCUAAUUACUCAUUUUGUGUUUUUAGCAAGUUCCUUUGAGACAAAAUCCCCAGCACCCACACGUAAAGGAGGAGAGGUUUAUUUUGGUUCAUGUUUUCAGUCCAUGGUUGGCUGGCUCUGGGACGGCAAGGUGAGGGUAGAAAGGUCUGAGGAAGGAAAGCUGCUCAGUCGUGGUGGCCUUGAAGCGGAGACAGAAGGCAGGGGCUGUGGGAAGACAUGAGCUCACUCCCAGCUAGCUCCACUUCCCAACAGCAGCUCAGCUAUAUCAACCUUGUGGUCCAUUUGCCUUCCAAAGGGGCAGCCUCCAAAGCAUAUCUGAGUGUGGGGAUCACUGUUGAUCUAAACCACAACACUUCAUCUCUUAUAGAUGUCACAUAAAUACCAGGUUUAAAGGACAACUCGGGGAAAUAGGUGGCUCAGUCCCUGACGAAGAACACCGCAAACAGAGCUUCAGUCUUUGAUGCUGGAGUAUAAUCCUGCUUUCCUCUCUUCAGUCUCGGAAGGUGAAUGAACAGUGGCAACUGCCCGGAGUAACUGAACUCUGAUUCCUCCUGUGGGCUGGAAAAGGAAACUCUCUGAAGCCAAAGAAGACAGAGCAAUUUCUAAUUAAAAAGCCAAAAACCAAGACCAGACCAGUCCCACAACAAGCCUUUAUUAAGGAGAAGGGACAAUCUGCCAGGCUGCCUCUGAACAAAGAGUGCAGCAACAUGGCAGGGGCUGGAGCACCUUUAUAGAGGUUGUGUGGGGACUGAGAGGAGAGAAGGGAGAGGCCAAGAAGGCUCUGUCCAACUAGAGAACUGUGGGACCAGCAGAAAAGUUUCAAGCCUGGGUCACCAGGAGACUCAAAGAGCUGCUGCCGCACGCCCCCCACCCAGGGAGUCUCCCAGUGGAGAACAGGAAGUGCCUGGUGCCUCAGUUCUUCCCUUCAGUGACCACACCACAGGCUCGUCAAUACCUCUGGACUCCGCAGGGGUGACUGGCAGGCUCUGGUUCACACCUGCUUCCGGUGAACCAGCGCUUCUUUCUUUCGGAACUGGAACUGAAGAUCCUCCCAGAUACACCUGACAGUCCAAGGAGCUGGAAUGCACAUCAAACAAAGCAGGCAGAAGCGGGCGUUUCAUCAAGCCAAACCAGCACCGCAAGCCUCCCACUGCCGCCGUGGGGAGUUUCCGAAGACCAGAGAAGCACGGGCCAGUUAGAGGCUGCCAAAUUCAAGACAGCCGGUUCCCUCGGAGGCUGCCAGCCACUCUUCCUGCCAACAAGACCUGGAAACGGCCUUACCACACAGCUCCUGGGUUCCCCUUACUUUUUCCACUGCGAAUGUAGCCUGAUUAGAGCGAGCGUGCAGAAGCACUAGAGGCGUACAUUCAGAAAACAUAUUUUGAACAAACUUUAUCUUUCUGAUCUUCAUUUUCUUGUUGUGAGAACGGGGAGGCAGACUAGAUCAGAGCUUCUCAUCCCUGGGUGCUCACAAAACCAUCCGGGAGCUUUAAAAAUGCAUACUUCUGGGCCCUUUACCGACCAAUUAAACCAGAACCUCUAAGUAUUUUUCAAAAACUCCCUAGAUGUUUCUAAUAGAUGCUGCUAGAUGCUGCCUGUGGUUAUUUCUACAUCAAACAUUUAUUUGUGAUCCUUCAUAUAAAGUGCAACCAAAUACUAAUGAGGCUGGCUUCCCACACUUCUCGUGAAAAGCUAUCUAAAUAUUAGGAUUUCUCUCUGUGUAGUCAUAAAGUCAAGGUCAGUCUUGUGGGCAGACAAAGACAGUGUGAUUUUAGGAACUUUUCUAAUCUUUAAACAUCUAGACUGCAAUGUUAAAAUCUAAAAUUAGGGGUGUAAAAUGCCAGUGAUUGGGGUCACGUGAGGAACCUAUUUGUGCAACUGAGAGUAGGUGUAGCACCAGGAAGGGGUGGAGUUCAUGGCACUAAAACUGUGUCCUCCCUAUGGGCAUUCCAACACACCUCCUGCCUGCCUCUCUCCUCUUCUGCCUUCUUUGCUUCCUUCUUUCCUAAACACCAGCUUGGCAGAAUGAAAAAAUUUAACCUGUUUCAAUUCACCUGUCUGUGAACUGUUUGAGACUCCAACCCAAGAUAUUUUGACGCCUUAGAAAAAAAUCUAACUGUUACAAAAGUUACCUAUCUCAUUAAUACAUUUUCAAAAAACAUCAUCUCGUCCACAUUGGACAAUAAAACUACAGGAUAGAAAUAAGAACUCUGAACAAACACUGCUGUAAACCUAUUCAUCUCCCUGUUCUUCACAGAUCCCCAUGGUGCUACAAAUUUGUCUCCAUUAUCUUAAACCAAGUGUCUGUUUAGAGUCUUUUGAUUUCUGUGUGCCAUUCUAAUUUUUCCCUUGGGUUCACUGUACCCCUUUCACAUACAGAAUUUUGAGCAGUAAACUCCUGUUUAUAGUGCAUCCUAUAUCCUAAAAGAGGAACCUCUUGAACCUUGCUUUUCCUAAAGUACUUUCUGCCUCAAGACUGUCCAGACUUGGCAUAAUUGACAUUUUGGGCUGCAUAAUUAUGUGAGGGGUGGAGAUGUUCCAUGCAUGGUAGGACUUUUCUCAACAUCUCUGAGCUGUGGCCACUAGAGGCCAAUUGCACCAUCUCUCCUGACGUGAUCAUCAACACUGUCUGCAGGCACUGCCAAGCGUCCCCAGGUGGGUGAAUCUCCCUCGAUGAGCCUUGUUGCUCUAACUGAAUAUGAUGCCUCGGUGCCCGUGAGGAAAAUGGUAGAGCAAGCUCUGUGGGCUUGGGAUGCAGCCAGCAUAAUAUCCCAGCUUCCAAAGGAAAAGCCCCAGCAGAAAAGGAAACAAGAUUCAGGAUGAUCAGCUGUGUCAGUUCCAUUUAAUUGUAAAUUUGGACAGGCUCUGCUGAGUGAAGUACAGAAUGUUUCUUGC